CCUAAGCCGAGGCCGAAAGGCGUAGGCGAUGGACAAUCGGUUGAUAUUCCGAUACCACUACCAUCGUUAUUAUCGAGGGUGUGACGGAGAAGGAUAGUGUGUGCUAGCGAUUGGAAAUGCUAGUCUAAGCGUUUAGGGAGUUACGGUAGGCAAAUCCGCUGUAACAAUUCUGAGGCGUGAUGGGGAAGGCCAUAUAGGCCGAAGUACAUGAUUCCAUGCUUCCAAGAAAAGCAUCUAGAGAGAGAAGUAGUGCCCGUACCGCAAACCGACACAGGUAGAUGAGGAGAGAAUCCUAAGGCCGGCGGAAGAAUUGCAGUUAAGGAACUAGGCAAAUUGACCCCGUAAGUUCGCGAGAAGGGGUGCCUGCGAGAGCAGGCCGCAGAGAAUAGGCCCAAGCAACUGUUUAGCAAAAACACAGGUCUCUGCUAAAGCGUAAGCUGAUGUAUAGGGGCUGACGCCUGCCCGGUGCUGGAAGGUUAAGGGGAACACUUAGCGCAAGCGAAGGUGUGAACUUAAGCCCCAGUAAACGGCGGCCGUAACUAUAACGGUCCUAAGGUAGCGAAAUUCCUUGUCAGGUAAGUUCUGACCCGCACGAAUGGCGUAAUGACUUGGGCACUGUCUCAACUGCAAAUCCGGCGAAGUUGUAGUGCGAGUGAAGAUGCUCGCUACCCGCGAUUGGACGGAAAGACCCCGUAGAGCUUUACUGUAGCUUAGCAUUGAAUUCCGGUAUUGUCUGUACAGGAUAGGUGGGAGACUGGGAAACUAGGGCGUCAGCCUUAGUGGAGUCAACCUUGGGAUACCACCCUGACAGUACUGGGGUUCUAACAGGACGCCAUGAAUCUGGUGACUGGACAUUGUUAGGUGGGCAGUUUGACUGGGGCGGUCGCCUCCUAAAAAGUAACGGAGGCGCCCAAAGGUUCCCUCAGAACGGUCGGAAAUCGUUCGUAGAGUGCAAAGGCAGAAGGGAGCCUGACUGCGAGACAUACAAGUAGAGCAGGGACGAAAGUCGGGCUUAGUGAUCCGGUGGUACCUCGUGGGUGGGCCAUCGCUCAACGGAUAAAAGCUACCUCGGGGAUAACAGGCUGAUCUCCCCCAAGAGUCCACAUCGACGGGGAGGUUUGGCACCUCGAUGUCGGCUCGUCGCAUCCUGGGGCUGUAGUAGGUCCCAAGGGUUGGGCUGUUCGCCCAUUAAAGCGGCACGCGAGCUGGGUUCAGAACGUCGUGAGACAGUUCGGUCCCUAUCCGUCGCGGGCGUAGGAAAUUUGAGAGGAGCUGCCCUUAGUACGAGAGGACCGGGAUGGACUGACCUCUGGUGCACCAGUUGUUCCGCCAGGAGCAUGGCUGGGUAGCUAAGUCGGGAAGGGAUAAACGCUGAAAGCAUCUAAGCGUGAAGCCUCCCUCAAGAUGAGAUUUCCCAUAGCAUAAGCUAGUAAGACCCCUUGAAGAACACAAGGUUGAUAGGUCAGAGGUGUAAGUGCGGUAACGUAUUUAGCUGACUGAUACUAAUAGGUCGAGGGCUUGACC
rnacentral:rRNA from 1 species